rnacentral:rRNA from 1 species
UACGGAGGAUCCGAGCGUUAUCCGGAUUUAUUGGGUUUAAAGGGUGCGCAGGCGGGAGAUUAAGUCGGCGGUGAAAUUUUGCAGCUCAACUGUAAAAGUGCCUUCGAAACUGGUUUCCUUGAGUGUGGAUGAAGUAGGCGGAAUUUGUGGUGUAGCGGUGAAAUGCAUAGAUAUCACGAGGAACUCCGAUUGCGCAGACAGCUUACUAAACCAUAACUGACGCUCAGGCACGAAGGCGUGGGGAUCAAACAGGAUUAGAUACCCGCGUAGU